rnacentral:rRNA from 1 species
CGACCGGCGCACGGGUGAGUAACGCGUAUGCAACCUGCCCGUUUCAGCGGGAUAGCCCGGAGAAAUCCGGCCUAAUACCGCAUGUGGCCGAGGGGAGGCAUCUUCUUUCGGCCAAAGGAGGCGACUCCGGAGACGGAUGGGCAUGCGUGACAUUAGCUUGUUGGCGGGGUAACGGCCCACCAAGGCGACGAUGUCUAGGGGUUCUGAGAGGAAGGUCCCCCACACUGGUACUGAGACACGGACCAGACUCCUACGGGAGGCAGCAG